AGAAUCAACGCUGGCGGCGUGCCUAACACAUGCAAGUCGAACGAGAAAGUGGAGCAAUCCAUGAGUAAAGUGGCGCACGGGUGAGUAACACGUGACUAACCUACCCUUGAGUGGGGAAUAACCUAGGGAAACCUGGGCUAAUACCGCAUAACACCUACGGGUCAAGGAGCAAUUCGCUUAAGGAGGGGUCGCGGCAGAUUAGCUAGUUGGCGGGGUAAUGGCCCACCAAGGCAGUGAUCUGUA
rnacentral:rRNA from 1 species